rnacentral:rRNA from 1 species
GACGAACGCUGGCGGCGUGCCUAAUACAUGCAAGUAGGACGCACAGUUUAUACCGUAGCUUGCUACACCAUAGACUGUGAGUUGCGAACGGGUGAGUAACGCGUAGGUAACCUGCCUAUUAGAGGGGGAUAACUAUUGGAAACGAUAGCUAAUACCGCAUAACAGUAUGUAACACAUGUUAGAUGCUUGAAAGAUGCAAUUGCAUCGCUAGUAGAUGGACCUGCGUUGUAUUAGCUAGUAGGUAGGGUAAUGGCCUACCUAGGCGACGAUACAUAGCCGACCUGAGAGGGUGAUCGGCCACACUGGGACUGAGACACGGCCCAGACUCCUACGGGAGGCAGCAGUAGGGAAUCUUCGGCAAUGGGGGGAACCCUGACCGAGCAACGCCGCGUGAGUGAAGAAGGUUUUCGGAUCGUAAAGCUCUGUUGUUAAGGAAGAACGAGUGUAAGAAUGGAAAGUUCAUAACUGUGACGGA